rnacentral:rRNA from 1 species
AAAAGCCUCUAGAUAGAAAAUAGGUGCCCGUACCGCAAACCGACACAGGUAGUCAAGAUGAGAAUUCUAAGGUGAGCGAGCGAACUCUCGUUAAGGAACUCGGCAAAAUGACCCCGUAACUUCGGGAGAAGGGGUGCUCUUUAGGGUUAACGCCCAGAAGAGCCGCAGUGAAUAGGCCCAAGCGACUGUUUAUCAAAAACACAGGUCUCUGCUAAACCGUAAGGUGAUGUAUAGGGGCUGACGCCUGCCCGGUGCUGGAAGGUUAAGAGGAGUGGUUAGCUUCUGCGAAGCUACGAAUCGAAGCCCCAGUAAACGGCGGCCGUAACUAUAACGGUCCUAAGGUAGCGAAAUUCCUUGUCGGGUAAGUUCCGACCCGCACGAAAGGCGUAACGAUUUGGGCACUGUCUCAACGAGAGACUCGGUGAAAUCAUAGUACCUGUGAAGAUGCAGGUUACCCGCGACAGGACGGAAAGACCCCGUGGAGCUUUACUGUAGCCUGAUAUUGAAAUUCGGCACAGCUUGUACAGGAUAGGUAGGAGCCUUUGAAACGUGAGCGCUAGCUUACGUGGAGGCGCUGGUGGGAUACUACCCUAGCUGUGUUGGCUUUCUAACCCGCACCACUUAUCGUGGUGGGAGACAGUGUCAGGCGGGCAGUUUGACUGGGGCGGUCGCCUCCUAAAAGGUAACGGAGGCGCUCAAAGGUUCCCUCAGAAUGGUUGGAAAUCAUUCAUAGAGUGUAAAGGCAUAAGGGAGCUUGACUGCGAGACCUACAAGUCGAGCAGGGUCGAAAGACGGACUUAGUGAUCCGGUGGUUCCGCAUGGAAGGGCCAUCGCUCAACGGAUAAAAGCUACCCCGGGGAUAACAGGCUUAUCUCCCCCAAGAGUUCACAUCGACGGGGAGGUUUGGCACCUCGAUGUCGGCUCAUCGCAUCCUGGGGCUGUAGUCGGUCCCAAGGGUUGGGCUGUUCGCCCAUUAAAGCGGUACGCGAGCUGGGUUCAGAACGUCGUGAGACAGUUCGGUCCCUAUCCGUCGUGGGCGUAGGAAAUUUGAGAGGAGCUGUCCUUAGUACGAGAGGACCGGGAUGGACAUACCUCUGGUGUACCAGUUGUCGUGCCAACGGCAUAGCUGGGUAGCUAUGUGUGGACGGGAUAAGUGCUGAAAGCAUCUAAGCAUGAAGCCCCCCUCAAGAUGAGAUUUCCCAACUUCGGUUAUAAGAUCCCUCAAAGAUGAUGAGGUUAAUAGGUUCGAGGUGGAAGCAUGGUGACAUGUGGAGCUGACGAAUACUAAUCGAUCGAAGACUUAAUCAA